GUUUAUAUAGUUUAUUUAAAACAUUACAUUUUCACUGUAAAAAUAAAAAAAUAUUUUUUAUAAAUA
rnacentral:tRNA from 1 species